rnacentral:rRNA from 1 species
CAGUAGCCACGGUAAAACGUAGGGUGCAAGCGUUAAUCGGAAUUACUGGGCGUAAAGCGUGCGCAGGCGGUUAUAUAAGUCAGAUGUGAAAUCCCCGGGCUCAACCUGGGAACUGCAUUUGAGACUGUAUGGCUAGAGUGUGUCAGAGGGGGGUAGAAUUCCACGUGUAGCAGUGAAAUGCGUAGAUAUGUGGAGGAAUACCGAUGGCGAAGGCAGCCCCCUGGGAUAACACUGACGCUCAUGCACGAAAGCGUGGGGAGCGAACAGGAUUAGAUACCCCAGUAGUCCCUGUCUCUUAUAC